CGCCCAGUCCCGGCAGCCCCACCCACACGAACUGAAGGCGUGGGGCCCCUGGAGCCGAGGCGCUAGCCCCGGGUCGCUGCGGGGGCUCGUUUGGCCUCUCGCGGCCUCCGUAUUCGCCGAAAGCCGAGACCGUUGGAAAGAUCAGAGAUUUAUGCCGUUGGGAGAAAGUUCCGGGGGUCCCACGGAGCGAUUGACGUUGCAAAUUUGAAGUAGAUGGGAAAGAAGAGGGCAGAAGAGACAAGCAAGAGGAAGAAAUCAUGAGCUUGGAGUCUAACAGAACUGACUGAUGGCCAGGUUGUCAGAGAAAGUUCCACUUGGGGAAGAGUAAAUUACUAAUGGUAGAGGACAAAUCAACAAUAUCAGUGCAGACAGAUGAGACACUGUGAAUUUUGGAUACCAAGAAGGCAAGUCCCAUUCUUA